CCUACGGGUGGCAGCAGUGAGGAAUAUUGGUCAAUGGGCGGGAGCCUGAACCAGCCAAGUCGCGUGAGGGAAGACGGUCCUAUGGGUUGUAAACCUCUUUAGGCGGGGAGCAAUGCCGGGCACGUGUGCCCGGAGGGAGAGUACCCGCAGAAUAAGCAUCGGCUAACUCCGUGCCAGCAGCCGCGGUAAUACGGGGGAUGCGAGCUUUAUCCGGAUUGCGUGGGUUUAAAGGGUGCGUAGGCGGAUUUUUAAGUCAGCGGUACAAGUUCCGGGCUCAACCCGGGCCGGCCGUUGAAACUGGGGAUCUUGAGUGGGCGAGAGGUAGGCGGAAUGCGUGGUGUAGCGGUGAAAUGCAGAGAUAUCACGCAGAACUCCGAUUGCGAAGGCAGCAUACCGGCGCCCUACUGACGCUGAGGCACGAAAGCGUGGGGAUCGAACAGGAUUAGAUACCCCGGUAGUC
rnacentral:rRNA from 1 species